rnacentral:misc_RNA from 1 species
CGUUACCAACGCCCUCUCAGUAGCCACUACCCUACCACUCUAUUCCUUUCUUCACUUCUUCCUUCCUUAACAGCAGUGAACUCCCCCUGAACCUCAACUGAAAAUCUAAUGCCCUUUUCAACUGAAAAAUACCUUUGUUUCCAGCAUUCUUGAUUUUUCUUUACGGUAUUUGACUGAACCAUUUAUAUUCCGUUUGCUUUUCUUGAAUUCCUUGUUAUCACCUGAAUUUGAGUCUUAUUUUUGGGCAAUUCUUAAACCCUCUACAAAGGAAAGGACAUGGCGGCAUUGGCACCAGGAAUUCUAUUGAAGCUUCUCAAUGGGAUGAGUACAGGGACAAAACCCACGAGUGAGCACCGAAGCUCGCUUCUGCAGGUGACUGAUAUAGUCCCAGCUGAUCUUGACGAGAAAAAUCUGUGGCCUAAACACGGAUUCUACAUUAAGGUCUCUGAUUCUUCUCACUCAAUCUAUGUCAGUCUUCCCUCUGAGCAAGAUGACUUUGUUCUCAGCAACAAAAUGCAGCUAGGCCAGUUUAUUUAUGUCGAUAAAUUGGAGCCAGGAUCUCCGGUUCCAGUUGUUAAAGGCGCAAAGCCACUUCCCGGGAGACACCCGUUAGUGGGCACACCAGAACCAUUAAUGGGUCUUAGAGAAAAAGGGGAGAGAGGCGAACAAAACCCAAAUUCAAAGACUUCAGGUCACAGGAGAGGUUCUUGGGGAACAGGGAAAAAUGGGGGAAGUGGGGUUUCGUCACCGAUGGUUUUGAAGCCAGUUCCUCUGGAUUUUGAUCAGUGCACACCGGUGAAACAGCGGACAAGUUGUGGGAAACCCGCUUCUCCAAUGAUAAGAGCGAGAAUGGGCAAAGAUGGAAGUGCAAGUGGGGGAAUUAGGUGUUCAUUUGGCGGUGGUCUGCUUGCUAAAAUGGUGGAUGCAAAUGGAGAGAGUCCUUCAUUACUUAGAAAAAGUUGCGCUGUAACUUCAGCAUCGAAGUUUCCAAGAAGCAAAAGCGUCUGUGAACGAGAGGCAAAGAUCCCAGUUAGCCCCUUCAACUCAUCUGAAAAUAAAUGUUCUCCACCACCACGUUUGAGGAAUGGAAAGGUGGUGGCUUCCCUCAAAAUGGGUGGAGAUUCACACAACUCUUCCAACUCAAAGCCUGCCCCAGAGCCACAGUCUCAGUUCAGUAAAUCUGCUUCUGACAAUAGUGCCAGUCUACCUAUCAAUUUGCCAGGAAAAUUAAGCAUACUUGGCAAGGAAGCUGUGCAGCAGCGAGAAACAGCCCAGAAGAUAGCCCUCCAGGCCCUUAGAGAUGCUUCAGCUACAGAAACUUUAGUUCGAUCUCUUAAGAUGUUUUCGAACUUGAGCAAAUCUGCUAGACCAGACGCUCCAGCGGCCUGUUUUGAUAAGUUUCUGGAAUUCCAUCAACAAAUUGUACAAGCAGUUACCGAUAUGGUGUCCAUUCAAGCAGCUGCUGAAAUUGCUCAAAACCCCAAUGUUGAACAAAAAGAUAGAAAGCCUCAGGAGGAGUUCCCAAUCUUACACGAAAUUGUACACAACUCUAUGGACCAAUCCAAGAACUCAGAAUUAAAUUCAUCCAAAAGAAGAGCAGCUCUACACAAAUCAUUUGCUGCCUUUCCUGAAAGAAGUGAACAGAAGGCAAAUUUGGGAAAACUCCUACGAUCAAAUGCCAACCAAAAGGCCUCUUCAGAGGGAAAAGGUCCAUCCACAGCGCUUGGAAAACUGCCCCUUGAGUCUAUCAGCGAGAACGAUGAAAACAAGAUACCAGCAUUUUGCAGUUUAAGCAAUACAAUUAGAUUGGGAAAGCAGAUUGAGACUGAAGCUGGAAAUUGGUUUAUGGAGUUCCUGGAAAAAGCUUUGGAAAGUGGUAUGAAGAAAUCUCAAGGCACAGCAGAUGGGGAUGCCAAGAAAGUUCCUCAGUCUCUUAUACUAAAAGUUAUAAACUGGGUGGAGGUAGAACAGUGUGAUAGCAGUAAGCGGCCAGUUCAUCCCAAGGCAGCACAAAUAGCCCGAAAGCUGAGGAUCAAAAUGAAGAACCCUUGAAAAGUACUUCUUACCAUGGAUUAUCGUUUGUGUGUUCCAUUUGUUUGGGAAUGAUGUUGCUUUUAUUGUAGUGAAUACAAUUUGCACGUGCAUGAGAUUUCAAAGCCCAUAGUGUUCCAAAACUACCAUAACCACCAGGUACUUGUAAAGGAUAAGACCUCCAGGUUUCAUUUCCAUAUCCUGAAUUCCCAUCAAUGUUCACCAUAACCUUGAUAUCCCCCCAACACGGCCGGCCCACACAACCUGGAUUUUCAUGCAAGACCUUGUGAAGUACUCUUUCAACCGAAUCUUCUGUGUCAAAGCAUGGGGCUUCUAAAGAAAAAUUGCAUUUAUAGAUACAAAUUAGAUGCCAAGUAUAAGCAAACCUUUGAAAAGUUAAAUAUGGGCCUCAAAAAAAUCACAAAACAAGUUUUAGACUGGUAAUUUAAAAAAUCCAUGGACAUCCACCACAAUCCUUCAAUGUCUCCGAUGGUUCCUUUGGAUUUUGAUCAGUGCACGCCGGUGAAACAGCCGACAAGUUGUGGGAAACCGGGCAGAAUUUGGUGUUCAUUUUGUGGUGGUCUGCCUGCUAAAAUGGUGGAUGAGGGAGAGUUCUGCAUCACUUAUAAAAAGUUGCGCUUUAACUUCUGC